AUUUGAAUAGCUUAUAUAUAGAGCAUAAUUUUGAAGAAAUUAGAGAAGUUUAAACUUUCAAAUA
rnacentral:tRNA from 1 species